UUAUAGAGUUUUUAACUCCCAACCCGUGUGAACUAUACCUAUGUUUUUGCUGUACUGUUGCUUUUGGCCGGUGGUUUCCUGGCAACAGGGGGCCCGCAAGGCUGUCAGGCGCUCUUUUAGGGCGUCUCGGCACCGGCCAAAGGUAGCCGUUUCGGCUGUUUAUUUAAACGCUUGCUUGCAAUGGCUCGUCUGAGCACUAAAGAAAAGACAAAUAGUCAAAACUUUCAACAACGGAUCUCUUGGUUCUGGCAUCGAUGAAGAACGCAGCAAAACGCGAUAAGUAAUGUGAAUUGCAGAAUUUAGUGAAUCAUCAAAUCUUUGAACGCACAUUGCGCCUGCCAGUAUUCUGGCAGGCAUGCCUGUCCGAGCGUCAUUUCCACCCUCAGGCGCUUCUUGCGUCUGCUGUUGGGGCUUUCUGCGGCCUAGCCGCAGGCCUCGAAAGCAAGUGGCGGGCUGGCUGGUCGGCUCCGAGCGCAGUAAUUUUUCUUCGCUUUGGAUGCCCCCGCUUGCGCCUUGCCGUAAAACCUUUUAUUUUUUAGGUUGACCUCGGAUCAGGUAGGACUACCCGCUGAACUUAAGCAUAUCAAUAAGCGGAGGAAAAGAAACCAACAGGGAUUGCCCCAGUAACGGCGAGUGAAGCGGCAACAGCUCAGAUUUGGAAUCUGGCCCCCAGGGCCCGAGUUGUAAUCUGGAGAGGAUGCUUCUGGCGCGGCGCCUUCCGAGUUCCCUGGAACGGGACGCCGGAGAGGGUGAGAGCCCCGUACGGUUGGACGCCUAGCCUUUGUGAAGCUCCUUCGACGAGUCGAGUAGUUUGGGAAUGCUGCUCAAAAUGGGAGGUAAAUUUCUUCUAAAGCUAAAUACCGGCCAGAGACCGAUAGCGCACAAGUAGAGUGAUCGAAAGAUGAAAAGCACUUUGAAAAGAGGGUCAAACAGUACGUGAAAUUGUUGAAAGGGAAGCGCCCGUGGCCAGACUUGUGCCCCGCGGACCACCCGGCGCCCUCAGCGCCGGUGCACUCCGCGGGGCGCAGGCCAGCAUCGGUUUUCCUAGGGGGAUAAAGGCGGCGGGAACGUGGCUCCCUCGGGAGUGUUAUAGCCCGCCGCGCCAUGCCCCUGGGGGGACCGAGGACCGCGCUUCGGCAAGGAUGCUGGCGUAAUGGCCACCGGCGACCCGUCUUGAAACACGGACCAAGGAGUCAAGCAUUGGGGCGAGUGUCUGGGUGCCAAACCCGCACGCGAAAUGAAAGUGAACGCAGGUGAGAGCUUCGGCGCAUCAUCGACCGAUCCUGAUGUUCUCGGAUGGAUUUGAGUAAGAGCCUUACCGCUUGGACCCGAAAGAUGGUGAACUAUGCCUGUAUAGGGUGAAGCCAGAGGAAACUCUGGUGGAGGCUCGCAGCGGUUCUGACGUGCAAAUCGAUCGUCAAAUAUGGGCA
rnacentral:sRNA from 2 species